AAAGCGCGAAAUGUAAUGUGAAUUGCAGAACAUUGUGAAUCAUCGAAUCUUUGAACGCACAUUGCGCCUCCUGUUAAUGGGAGGCAUGCCUGUCUGAGCGUCAUUUAAAACAAUAACCUUUGGGUUGUAUUGGGAUUCGCCCUUGGGCGUAUCCUCAAAGUCAUCGUGUCUAAAAGCGUACGAGCUCCACUAGGACGGAACGUUUGAGGACCCUAAACUCUCUGACUUGACCUCAGAUCAGGUAGGACUACCGCCUGAACUUAA
rnacentral:misc_RNA from 1 species